UACGUAGGGUGCAAGCGUUAAUCGGAAUUACUGGGCGUAAAGCGUGCGCAGGCGGUUAUGUAAGACAGAGGUGAAAUCCCCGGGCUCAACCUGGGAACUGCCUUGUGACUGCAUAGCUAGAGGUACGGUAGAGGGGGGGAUGGAAUUCCGCGUGUAGCAGUGAAUGCGUAGAUAUGCGGAGGAACACCCGAUGGCGAAGGCAAUCCCCUGGACCUGUACUGACGCU
rnacentral:rRNA from 1 species